UGAUGAAAAAAAUCUUGAAAGAAAAGGAACAACCAGCUGAGCCUCAACAACUCAUCAACAACGAAGAAGAAGAAUCUGAAUCGCCUCCUCAUUCUUCCGCUACCUUUCGUAAUCCAUUCGAUCUCCUUGACGACAAAGACAUGCUGUUGACGACCAGGUUUUGUGUUUAUUACUAUUGUAAAUGUAAAAAAAAAGCUUGUUAUUAAUAUUAGUUAUUAUAUGAAUUAUAUUGUUGAUUUAUUUCAUAGAAUUUUUUCCAGUUAGUAUCACAGAAAAUAAAGCUGAAAGUGCCAAGAGUAAGUGUGCCAAUAAAGAAAACCCUAAUAAAUGCGAUUAAGCAAGUAAGUAAAUUACAAACAAUAUUAAGAGCUGAAUUUGAAUCUUAAUUAUAGACCCUAACGUGAGAGCUGUCAUCGAAUUGUUAGAAUUGGUGGGAAUUGGCAAACCCACUUCCAACAUAGUCAACAAAAUACACCACCG
rnacentral:lncRNA from 1 species